UACGAAGGUCCCAAGCGUUGUUCGGAAUCACUGGGCGUAAAGGGUGCGUAGGCGGUUUGGUAAGUCAGAUGUGAAAUCCCGGGGCUCAACCCCGGAACUGCAUCCGAUACUGCCGGACUAGAGGACUGGAGAGGUGACUGGAAUUCUCGGUGUGGCAGUGAAAUGCGUGGAUAUCGAGAGGAACACUCGUGGCGUAAGCGAGUCACUGGACAGUAUCUGACGCUGAGGCACGAAGGCCAGGGUAGCGAAAGGG
rnacentral:rRNA from 1 species